rnacentral:hammerhead_ribozyme from 1 species
AUCCAGCUGACGAGUCCCAAUUAGGAGGAAAUGCGCAUCCUGGAU